rnacentral:rRNA from 1 species
UACGUAGGGCGCAAGCGUUAUCCGGAAUUAUUGGGCGUAAAGAGCGUGUAGGCGGUCCGGUAAGUCGGCUGUGAAAGUCCAGGGCUCAACCCUGGGAUGCCGGUCGAUACUGUCGGACUAGAGUACAGAAGGGGGCAACUGGAAUUCUCGGUGUAGCGGUGAAAUGCGUAGAUAUCGAGAGGAACACCUGCGGCGAAGGCGGGUUGCUGGGCUGAUACUGACGCUGAGGCGCGAAAGCCAGGGGAGCGAACGGG